UCUCUCUUGCUUGAUUCCUUCUGUU
rnacentral:piRNA from 1 species